GACGAACGCUGGCGGCGUGCCUAAUACAUGCAAGUAGAACGCUGAAGGAGGAGCUUGCUUCUCUGGAUGAGUUGCGAACGGGUGAGUAACGCGUAGGUAACCUGCCUGGUAGCGGGGGAUAACUAUUGGAAACGAUAGCUAAUACCGCAUAAUAGCAGUUGUUGCAUGACAACUGUUUGAAAGGUGCAAUUGCACCACUACCAGAUGGACCUGCGUUGUAUUAGCUAGUUGGUGGGGUAACGGCUCACCAAGGCGACGAUACAUAGCCGACCUGAGAGGGGGGUCAGCCACACUGGGACUGAGACACGGCCCAGACUCCUACGGGAGGCAGCAGUAGGGAAUCUUCGGCAAUGGACGGAAGUCUGACCGAGCAACGCCGCGUGAGUGAAGAAGGUUUUCGGAUCGUAAAGCUCUGUUGUAAGAGAAGAACGAGUGUGAGAGUGGAAAGUUCACACUGUGACGGUAUCUGACCAGAAAGGGACGGCUAACUACGUG
rnacentral:rRNA from 1 species